GCUGUUAAGGGUUCGUAGUUGAAUUCAGAGUUGGAAGAUUUGGAUGCCUUGGUGUCCCUUCGUUCCUUCUCUGUCUAGACGGGACUGUGUCUUGCUGAGGCUGGCCUUCAUUGACCAGCUGGGAUCUCAACUGAAGAGGUUGGGGUUACACGUGUAACGCACGUAAAUGACCUCCCGUUGUUUCACUGUGAAGAAAACAGCGUGUUCAAAGCUGCCGCAUGUCGGCUGAAUGACAAGUAUCGACCAAUUGGUCUGUGUUUUGUUGGUUUUUACGAUUGAUUUGGAUAACUCGUUCCUGAAGUCAUACUUGAUUUCAUACGUGACUUCUUGCAUGCUUCCUGAACACGGGAUUAAUGGGGGUUGUCGGGGGAAACGUAUUUGAGCGUGAGAUGUGAAAUUCUUAUACCGCUCGAGGCGAACUUAUGCGAAGGCAUUUUCCAAGUAUACCUUCAUCAAUCAAGAACCAAAGUG
rnacentral:rRNA from 1 species